GUGAACGCUGGCGGUAGGCCUAACACAUGCAGGUCGAACGGCAGCACAGUAAGAGCUUGCUCUUACGGGUGGCGAGUGGCGGACGGGUGAGGAAUACAUCGGAAUCUACUUUUUCGUGGGGGAUAACGUAAGGAAACUUACGCUAAUACCGCAUACGACCUACGGGUGAAAGCAGGGGAUCUUCGGACCUUGCGCGAUUGAAUGAGCCGAUGUCGGAUUAGCUAGUUGGCGGGGUAAAGGCCCACCAAGGCGACGAUCCGUAGCUGGUCUGAGAGGAUGAUCAGCCACACUGGAACUGAGACACGGUCCAGACUCCUACGGGAGGCAGCAGUGGGGAAUAUUGGACAAUGGUCGCAAGCCUGAUCCAGCCAUACCGCGUGGGUGAAGCAGGCCUUCGGGUUGUAAAGCCCUUUUGUUGGGAAAGAAAAGCAGCAGGUUAAUACCCCGCUGUUCUGACGGUACCCAAAGAAUAAGCACCGGCUAACUUCGUG
rnacentral:rRNA from 1 species